rnacentral:rRNA from 1 species
GACGAACGCUGGCGGCGUGCUUAACACAUGCAAGUCGAACGGAAAGGCCCUGCUUUUGUGGGGUUCUCGAGUGGCGAACGGGGGAGUAACACGUGAGUAACCUGCCCUUGGCUUUGGGAUAACUUCAGGAAACUGGGGCUAAUACCGGAUAGGAGCUCCGACUUCAUGGUGGGGGUUGGAAAGUUUCGGCGGUUGGUGAUGGACUCGCGGCUUAUCAGCGUGUUGGUGGGGUAGUGGCUUACCAAGGCUUUGACGGGUAGCCGGCCUGAGCGGGUGACCGGCCAAAUCGGGACUGAGAUACGGCACAGACUAAUCCGGCAGGCAGCAGUGGGGAAUAUUGCACCAUGGGCGGAAGCCUGAUGCAGCAACGCCGCGUGCGGGAUGAUGGUCUUAGGGUUGUAACACGAUUUCGCCUGUGACGACGCGUGAGUGACGGUAAUGGGUAAAGAAGCAACGGCUAACUACGUG